UACCCCUUGGGUGCAACAAACCCCAC
rnacentral:piRNA from 1 species